GAAGACCGAACGCAGAUAAAAAAAUUCUGUUUUAAUAAUUUCUACUCACUUUCCAGAGAAACCGCUGCAAGGUUAGACACUUCAGACGGUACGCUUUCUAUUGUGGUACAAAACAGAAAAGCGAUGAAGGACAGUAGACAGUCCCUUUAAUUCUUCUGAACAAAUGUGCAUGAGACAUCUCUUCCAAGUGUUCUUUGUUAAGCUCAAGUGAAAACUAGCAGAGCCGUGCGUUAUGCAGAUGAACGCGACCCGGUUCCUGUGGAGCUCUCACCUCUGCUCGGUGCACCACUACCAGAACACGCCAUCAUUUGUCGUGGCCGGAGUUGUGGGAAUCCUGGUUAUCCUCUUUUAUGCUGGUGCUGGCACCAUCAUCACACCACUGAACACCGAACUAGUCCAACCCAAACGACUGUUAAGGCGACGAUCACGUUACGGCUCUGCAUCGCCUGGCAACUGCUCCCCACGAGCCGUGCGAUCGUGACGCGCAUUUUUGCAGUCUUCGCACUUGUUAUGCUGUCCCUGUUAUGCACACCCAGUGAUAUGUUAUGCUCAGUUAUUUAGGUUGUAUUUAUUGCUUUAUGUCGCCCCAUUUAUAGAUGCGCAUCUGCUCCAAGCAGGAUGAGAAGUUUUAGAUAGGGUAUAUAUACAUUAAGGUACACUCAAUGUGUUUACGGUAUGUUACUUUUUCUACUAGUUUUUAAUGUUGCACAAUGUGCCUGUUUUAUAGUUGCUUCUACACGCAUGUUGAAUGAAGAAUGUUUGAAAUCUAAUAAAUGUGUUGAAA